AGGUGUGUGAGGUGGCAUCCUAUUGUAGUUUUGAUUGCAUCUGUCUAAGCAGGUGUCCUCUUCUUUCUUUACCAUUCCAUGUGCAUCCCUCCCAGAAGUGCAUGCUUGAUCAAAGAGGACAACCACCCCUGCUAGAAGAGGAUCAUUCUUCAAUCAAGGGUAUAUGAGUAGUUGUACUUUCCUGCUAGAACCUCCAUACAAGCUGUCAAGAAUAAAGAGGGAUCUCAAAUAAACAGUCUCACCUAAGGU
rnacentral:sRNA from 1 species